GAUCAGUUAGUCGAUCAAGUAUCAGACUUAGUCGACCCACUGAAGUGAGCUGACUCAGUUCAGGGGUGAGCUGACCUAGUUUUCAGAACAAAAAGAUUUUGGAUAAAAAUGAUGUAAAAUUAUUUUACAAAAUUGAAAUGGUUUCAAUUAAUAACUUUAACCCAUGUUAAUGCUACACUUAAUUGAGAAUUAAAAAAUAUUUUAGAUCUAUAAUUAUGAUUAAAGAUCUAAUGAUAUUGCAUAAAAUGUGGGACAUGGGUUAGCUCAAAUCAGGUCCUUUUAAUUGGGUUAGAUCUAUGGUUAAAAAUCAAAGACUUAAUGGACUAAAAAGAUAGUUAAUUUGAUCUAACCAAUAGUUGAAUUAGAUUAGGUCA
rnacentral:lncRNA from 1 species